rnacentral:rRNA from 1 species
GACCUUAGUUGCCAGCAUUCAGUUGGGCACUCUAAGGUGACUGCCGGCUAAAAGUCGGAGGAAAGGUGGGGAUGACGUCGAAAUCAUCCAUGCCCCUUAUGACCUGGGCUACACACGUGCUACAAUGGGCGGUACAAAGGGUCGCGAACCCGCGAGGGGAGCCAAUCCCAAAAAGCCGCUCCCAGUUCGGAUUGCAGGCUGCAACUCGCCUGCAUGAAGCCGGAAUCGCUAGUAAUCGCGGAUCAGCAUGCCGCGGUGAAUACGUUCCCGGGCCUU